GUGAACCAAUGGCAAAAAGGAAGACCUUUCUCUCUGUCUCUCUCUCUCUCACACACUAUCCACUCUGCCUGUAAAAAAAAAAAAAAAGAACUUUUUGGCAUCGUGCUAGAAUUUUCCAUCUGCUACCAGUCUUUGUUCUGGCCUAGCUAAGUACCUGUCCAGAUGUUGCCCAAAUAGAUACGUACAUCAGUGUAUAGAUAAAUUCUCCAAACCAACUAAACUGUUUGCUGUCAUACUACAACACUUAUUGAGGAGCCCUUGCAGACAACAAAUAUAAUUUGUGUUCAGGCCAAAGGGAAAGUGUGUGGAGCACGACUGCAUAACGCACCUGCCCAGACGGCGGACGGAGGCCAGGGUGCCCUCAGUGGCCUUCCUCUCAGGCGCUCCGUCCAGAAGGUCAGAUGCGGAUGGAGAUGGGACAUCAAGAGUGUGCAGAGAGACGUCUUACAGAGCUCUGCAGGAGAAAGAAGAGACGUGUUGGAAAACACAACAUCACGUGUUCCGAUGCGCUGUGGAUAUUCAGAUUGUCGAUGCCCAUACGUAUCUUUGCUAUUGUAAAUCUGUCACUUCUAGAUAAUCUGAUGGUUGACUGUCAGCAAAGUUUUGUCUACCUCUAAAGUAAAAUCUGCCUGCCUGCCAAGUUAAUGAAGAUGAUCCGUCUUCCCUACCGUUACCUUUUUCCUAUCCUAUUGGUGGAAAUAGGAAGGUUUCCAGAUCAAGGUUAAGCACUGAAUUUUUAAAAAAUUUUUAUUUGAGAGAGAGAGAGAGAAGGAAUUCUCAUCUGCCGAAUCACCCCCCAGAUGCCCACAAAGGCUGGGCCUGGCUGAAGCUGAGAGCUAGGAACUCAAUCCAGGUCUCCAAUGCGUGGCUGGAAUCUAAUUACUUAAGUCAAUGCUGCUGCCUCCCAGAAUCCACAUCAUCAGGAAGCUGCAGUCAAGAGUCAGACAUGGGGCCAGCACCGUGGCUCACUUGGCUAAUCCUCUGCCUGCGGCACUAGCAUUCCAGGUUCUAGUCCCGGUUGGGGCACCGGAUACUAGUCUCAGUUGCUCCUCUUCCAGUCCAGCUCUCUGCUGUGUCCCAGGAGGGCAGUAGAGGAUGGCCCAAGUGCUUGGGUCCCUGUACCUGCAUGGGAGACAGGGAGGAAGCACCUGGCUCCUGGCUUCGGAUCUGUGCAGCGCCGGCUGUAGCGGCCAUUAGAGGAGUGAACCAACAGAAGGAAGACCUUUCUCUCUGUCUCUCUCUCACUGUCUAUAACUCUACCUGUCAAAAAAAAAAGUCAGACAUGGGAGCAAGCCCAGGCACCGUGGAAUGUGCCCACACUACUCAUAAGUGUUGAAUUUUUCAAAUUCUUAAAAUGUACUUAUUUUUCAUUUUACUUUUAAAAGGCAGACAGAUAGAUAGACAGAGCUUGGAGAACUUUUAUCUGAUGGUUCACUCGCCAAAUGAUCAUAGCAUGUGAGGAUGUGCCAGGCUAAAGCCAGGAGCCAGGAACCUAAUCACGGUUUCCCACUCGGAUGACAGGGACCCAACUAACUUGAGCCAUUACUUGCUGCCUCCCAGGAUCUGCAUUAGCAGGAGGGUGGAUCAGAAGCAAAGUCAAGACUUGGACCAGGCAUCUUAACCACUAGGCCAAAUGCCUGCCUCUUCUCCCCAUACCCCACCACCACUAUCCAGGCUUAACUCAGAGGCAGCAUUCCUAUGGGACUUACUCGACAUUCACUAGUUAGGAUCUCAUUAGUGGUCUAGUAUGAUACAAUUAAUGAUCCGGGAGUGAAGCUGGGACAUUAACCCUUGACCACCCAUUUCCUGGGUUAGUAUUUAUCUGUGUUCAUUUGUAGCACUAGGAGAUUGAGGGCUCCGUCUCUUGAAGCCAUGGCUCCUACAGGAAAUUUUUGAAGAGAAUCAGUUUAGAGAGAGAGUUUCACGUGGUCAGAUUGCUUAGUUAAUGAACCCUACCUGCAUCGGUUGCUAAAGCAACACAUGAUUUGAUUAAUUAGGUUGGAAUUGUAUCGUCAUGCACAAAGGUAUCACAUUUCUACCACGCCCCACUGCGGGUGUCAGCUUUUUCUGGGCAUAAUUAUGCCAUGAAGAUUAGCUGCCCAUCUGCUGUUCACCAGGAAAACUGCCAUCGCAAUCUAUAUCAGCAAUAAACUGUUAGAGGGGUUGGUGAGAAACUUAUUAUAACUCCGAUCUUGCUUGUAUUGAGAAUAAAA